CCGGUCUCCGAGGCGUGAGGCGGUGGGAGGGUCGGCGGCCGCGUCCUCCACGACCCUGGGGAGAAGUCCCAGUUUCCGCGCAGCCGACAACGGUCAGGGUCUUCCUCUGUCGCACAGGCUGGAGUGCAGUGGCUCGAUCACGGCUCACGGAAACCUCCAAUCCCUGGGCUCAAGCGAUCUUCCCUCAAAUUCAACAGUAGCUGGAACUACAGGCUCGUGACACCACAGCAGGCUAAUUUUUAAAUUUUUCGUGGAGAUGGGAGGUCACACUAUAUUGCCCAGGCUGGUCGCGAACUCCUGAGCUCAAGCGAUCUUCCCUCUUUGGCGUCCCAAAGAGCUGAGAUUGCAGGAGUUAACCUCACCGAAAGAUACAACCGAUUUAAGAAGAAAAUGUUAAAACUCUCUUCAAGGGCCUAUAGAAGAAACGGGAUGAAUGGAAACGUGAUUCACUCUGUGGACUGGCAGAUACCUCUGGAAAUCUGGUGUUCUAUUGUAAUAAGUUCUCGGGAAGGUAGAGACUUUUAUUUGGGACAUAGAGGCUUGGCCAACCAGAAUGGAGGACCCACCCAAGUCCCGCCCCCAAGCCUGAGCCCUCUCCUUUGCUCCACCCACUCUGCCUGAAGUCCCCUCAACCCCUCCGACUUCGCAGUCUCCCAGCCCGGCCUUCUGGGGCUGGUCUUCAUUGGAAGCCACGCCCCCAGGUCUGUCGGAUAAACAUUUUACAACCUAUUCUCUCUGAAGUCUAGUACCUGGAGGCUUCCUCUGGAAAUAAGAACUUGGGUCUCCCGCCUGGCCAACAUGACGAAACCCCGUCUCUACUAGAAAUACAAAAAUUAGCCGGUCG